GUGGCCGCGGGCGGCGGCCGCGCGCAGGGCGUUCUCGACGUCCGCGCGCAGGAUGAGCCCCUCGGGUCCGGAGCCCGAGAGCCCGCGC
rnacentral:tRNA from 1 species